GUCUAUGAUGCAGCUACUGCAGGAUAUCUUGGCCGUUGUCAAGCUUGACAGUUCUGAAAGACAGUCAUGUAAACAACUGCGUGCAAAGUUUUGUGUGGGCCUGUGUUCAACCAUCAGAUUGAAAACCACUGGGUUGGGAGCCUCACAGAAGUCUGGGAAGAAUGGCAGGUGGAGACAGUCUCUAUACUCUCCAUCACACAGUGGAUGGAGGCAGCAUUACCCGUCGGCCAAGCCUUCCAUGGGCCCUCCUUCCUGAGCACCACCAGGAUGUCCACCUUCACCUACCAGGCCACGAUAAUGAGAAGGCAUGCCUCCUUCCUCCUUGAAUCCCAGCUGGGGAUAGACACCCAGGUGGACCCCCCCAGCACUCUGCCCUCUGACCACUCUGUAGACCCUCAACCACACUGAAGAAGA